rnacentral:lncRNA from 1 species
CUUAUAGCUACUCCUUCCUCUCCUCCUAACCUCCUCCAUCCUCACCUCCUCCUUCCUCUCGUCCUCACCUCCUCUCUCCUCUCCUCACCUCCUCUUCUCCUCACUCCUCCUCCUCCUUCAUCACCUCCUCCUCUCCUCUUAACCUCCUUUCUCACCUCCUCCCUUCCUCACUCCUCUCCUCAACCCCUCCUUCCUCCUCUACUCACUACUCUCCUCCUUCCUCACCACAUCACCUCCUUCUUCCUCACAUCCCCACUCCUCUCCUCCUCCUUCCUCACCUCCUUAAUCCUCUCCUCCUCCUUCCUCAACUCCUCCUCCUCUCAUCCUCCUUCCUCAACUCCUCACUCCUAUCCUCCUCACCUCCUCCUUCCUCUCCUCCUCAUUCCUCUCCUCCUUCCUCACAUCCUCAAUCCUCUCCCCUCCUUUCUCACACCUCUCCUCCUACUUCCUCUCCUCCUCACUUUCUCCUUCCUCUCCUCCUCACUCUUUUCCUCCUCCUUCAUCAUUCCUCUCCUCCUCCUUUCUCACACAUCUCCUCCUCACCUUCUCCUUCCUUUCCUCCUCACUCUUCUCCUCCUCCUUCAUCACUCCUCUCCUCCUUUCUCACACCUCUCCUCCUUCCUCUCCUCCUCACCUUCUUCCUCUCCUCCUCACUUCUCUCCUCCUCCUUCCUCACUCCUCACCUCCUCCUUCCUAUCCUCUUCACCUUUUCCUUCCUCUCCUCCUCACUCUUCUCCUCCUCCUUCCUCACUCCUCUCCUCCCCCUUCCCCACCUCCUCACUUCUCUCCUCCUCCUUCCUCACUUCUCACCUCCUUCCUUUCCUCUUCACCUCCUCCUUCCUCUCCUCCUCCUUCCCCACCUCCUCACUUCUCUCCUCCUUCCUCACUCCCCACCUCCUCCUUCCCCACCUCCUCACUUCUCUCCUCCUCCGUCCUCACUCCCCACCUCCUCCUUCCCCACCUCCUCAUUUCUCUCCUCCUCCUUCCCCACAUCCUCACUUCUCUCCUCCUUCCUCACUCCCCACCUCCUCCUUCCCCACCUCCUCACUUCUCUCCUACUCCUUCCUCCCUCCUCUCCUCCUCCUUCCUCACUCCCCACCUCCUCCUUCCCCACCUCCUCACUUCUCUCCUCCUUUCCUGUUUCUCCAUCAACAUGAUUUAUUUUGUUCUCGUCGGGUUGACUGUUUUUUGCUUAUUUUUUCUGUACAUUAA